GAUGAACGCUGGCGGCGUGCCUAAUACAUGCAAGUCGAGCGAACAGACGAGGAUCUUGCUCCUCUCACGUUAGCGGCGGACGUGUGAGUAACACGUGUAUAACCUACCUAUAAUACUGAGAUAACUUCGAGAAAGCGGAUCUAAUCCCGUAUAAGAUCUUGAACCGCAUGGGUGAAUAGUGAAAUACGGUUGUUCGGGCUCUUAUAGAGGGAUCUGCGCCGCAUUAGCUAGUUGGGAAGUUAACGGCUUAGCAAGGCAAGGAGGCGUAGCCGACGUGCGAGGGGGAUAGGCCGCACUGGAAGUGGGCCGGGGUCAAGAGUCCUAAGGGAGGGAGCAGUAGGCAACCUGAGGCAAUGGGCGAAAGCAUGACGGAGCGACGCCGAGUGAGUGAUGACGGUCUUGGGAGCGUAAAAAUGUGUUAUUAGGGAAGAACAAAUGUGUAAGUAAAUAUGCACGGAUUGACGGUAAUUAAUAAGAAAGCAACGGCUAACUACGUG
rnacentral:rRNA from 1 species